AGAGAUGAAGAGCUUGCUCUUCAAAUCGAGUGGCGAACGGGUGAGUAACGCGUGGGUAACCUGCCUCAUACAGGGGGAUAACAGUUAGAAAUGACUGCUAAUACCGCAUAAGACCACAGCACCGCAUGGUGCAGGGGCAAAAACUCUGGUGGUAUGAGAUGGACCCGCGUCUGAUUAGGUAGUUGGUGGGGUAACGGCCCACCGUGGCUUCGACGGGUAGCCGGCCUGAGAGGGCGACCGGCCACAUUGGGACUGAGACACGGCCCAGACUCC
rnacentral:rRNA from 1 species